AUUGAUUUUCCAGACAAAUUAUCGAAAAUCAGAGAUAAAAAGAAUGUACUUACUGCCAAUGGUUGAAGAAUGUUUCGGAUUGUGCUACAAAGUCUAUUGAUGCUGUGUUUACUAUAUACCUAUAAUCAUAAAGCACUCGCUGAGAGCUCAAUAGAGCGCAGAAUGCAAAGACAAUUUGCCAACUUUGAAAAUCUUUUUACAGAAAACCACAAAAAAAAUGUAUUCAAAAUACAAUCAGCCGACAAUGCCAUCGUUCGAAUGUCUUUUAAAAAGCCUGACAUUGAGAAUUCUAAAGACGACAAGAAGAAUUUGCAUAGUAACAAAAAGCACCCUCAAUAUUACUUAAAUUUUGAAUUUAAUAACUAUCACAAUCCUAAAAAUGAACAAAACGAUAUUUCCAGAAAUAAAGGCAGAAAAAGCUUUCCUCUCAAGGGGAAAGAUCUAUUUCAUUAAUAGUAUAAAGUGUCUGACAGCAUGCUUUGAGAGCUGUUCGUGAACUUUGUCCAACUGUUUCACUAAAAUAAAGUUAUAGAAU